GACGAACGCUGGCGGCGUGCUUAACACAUGCAAGUCGAACGGAAAGGCCCUGCUUUUGUGGGGUGCUCGAGUGGCGAACGGGUGAGUAACACGUGUGUAACCUGCCCCUGACUUUGGGAUAACUUCAGGAAACUGGGGCUAAUACCGGAUAGGAUCUCCUGCUGCAUGGUGGGGGUUGGAAAGAUUCGGCGGUUGGGGAUGGACUCGCGGCUUAUCCGCUUGUUGGUGGGGUAGUUGUAUACCACGGCUUUGACGGGUAGCCGGCCUGGGAGGUUGACCGGCCACAUGGGGACUGAGAUAGGGCCCAGACUGCUACGGGAGGCAGCAGUGGGGAGUAUUGCACAGUGGGCGGAAGCCUGAUGCAGCAACCCCGGGUGCGGGAUGACGGGCUUCGGGGUGUAAACCGCUUUCGCCGGUGACGAAGCGUGAGUGACGGUAAUGGGUAAAAAAGCAACGGCUAACUACGUG
rnacentral:rRNA from 1 species